rnacentral:lncRNA from 1 species
GAGUAGCUGGGACUGCAGGCGCCCGCCACCAUGCCUGGCUAAUUUUUUGUAUGUUUAGUAGAGACGGGGUUUCACCGUGUUAGCCAGGAUGGUCUCUAUCUCCUGACCUUGUGAUCUGCCUGCCUCGGCCUCCCGAAGUGCCGGGAUUACAAGCGUGAGCCACCAUUCCCGGCCCAAAGAGGAGAAGAAGUAUGAAGUGCUUGCUUGGACCUUUCUACUGUGCUUAUUAUUCUGUCUUCUCCUCAUGGCAAAAGCUGACAAACGGUUUAUAUCAGAAGGUGGAAUCGUGGGUAUGGUCGAUGUGGCAGGUCCUAAACAUAAAUUGGAUUUCUUUUUUAUUUUCAUUUAUUAAAUACAGAAGAAAUAUUUCGCUGAAGACACAGGAAACCCUAUUUUGUAUAAACGAGGGAUUGCAAGAGAUUGUUGGAAGAUCAAAGAUGGGUGAAUUGGAGCUCUUCCUGAGAACAAAAAGGAUUUAUGAAGGAAAAAGCAGCUAAUCAAAGAAGUUCUGAGUUUAAAUUCUGUUUUGUCCACUUACUAGCCAUUUGGCCUUGGGCAAGUCACUUUACUGGACCUCAGUUUCCUUGUAUGUGAAAGGUUUUGGUAAAAAUCAUAUUAGUUAAAGAAUGUAAAGAGUUUUAUAAAUUACAAAGUGAUUAAAAAAAGUAAAAUGUAUUGUUGUUUAGGAACAAUGAAAAAAAAAGAAACCUUGACAUUUUUUCUUCAAGUUCUUGCCUAAAAUGUUUAUUUGUUUGGCCCUUUUUAGAUUUAACAAAUUCUAUGUGUCUAAAUAUCAGUGUAGACCCCUUCUUACCCUACUGGAUUUAUAAGGUACUAAAAGUAGAUAUGCAUCUCUUCUGUCUUGGUUCGCUCUAAAAUGGGAUGUUUGCAAACCUCUUGGUUUUUCUUUUUUAAUAUGGAUGAAGCUUAUAUUAAUUUUUGGCUUGGUAUUAAAUUUUGUUUGGAAUA